rnacentral:rRNA from 1 species
GACGAAUGCUGGCGGCGUGCUUAACACAUGCAAGUCGAACGGAAAGGCCCUGCUUGCAGGGUACUCGAGUGGCGAACGGGUGAGUAACACGUGGGUGAUCUGCCCUGCACUUCGGGAUAAGCCUGGGAAACUGGGUCUAAUACCGGAUAGGAGCCAUUUUUAGUGUGAUGGUUGGAAAGUUUUUUCGGUGUAGGAUGAGCUCGCGGCCUAUCAGCUUGUUGGUGGGGUAAUGGCCUACCAAGGCGGCGACGGGUAGCCGGCCUGAGAGGGUGGACGGCCACAAUGGGACUGAGAUACGGCCCAGACUCCUACGGGAGGCAGCAGUGGGGAAUAUUGCACAAUGGGCGCAAGCCUGAUGCAGCGACGCCGCGUGGGGGAUGACGGCCUUCGGGUUGUAAACGCCUUUCGCUAGGGACGAAGCUUUUGUGACGGUACCUGGAUAAGAAGCACCGGCUAACUACGUG